GAAAGUUGAGUGGUAUUUCCUUCUUCAAAAGAGAAGCUAGCCACCUCAGAGCUCAACUUUCAUGACUCUCACUAUGUUGAUUUAUUUAUGAAAAAAUAAACUACAGAAAGGAAAAGUCUCUGAGCGGUUAAACUGAAAGUCACCUAAUUCCUUGAGUAGAAAUACUAACGAGGAAAUUGAUAGGACCCCAAGUCCUUCAGUUUUAACUAAGAAAGUCCUAGUACCUGGGCACGGGUUUAGGGAGUCCGCAAGAUUCCAUAGAGAUUAGUAGUAGUUGAGUAGGGUUAACCGAAACGAGUGAUUGACGUAAACAAUCGGUGAUGACUUGAUACAGAUGGCAACAUUUGUGGAUACGGAAGGAAACCUUAGUACGGUAUAAUCUUCACAAAAGACAGGUCAGUUAAACGAGUAAUCUCAUCGU
rnacentral:ncRNA from 1 species